rnacentral:snRNA from 1 species
GUGCUUGGCUCAGCAGCAGAGCUACUCAAACUGGAAUGAUACAGAGAAGAUUAGCGUGGUCCCUGCACAGGGAUGACGCAAAAAUUUGUGAAGUGUUCUGUAAAAAA